rnacentral:rRNA from 1 species
CCUACGGGAGGCAGCAGUGGGGAAUAUUGGGCAAUGGGCGCAAGCCUGACCCAGCAACGCCGCGUGAAGGAAGAAGGCUUUCGGGUUGUAAACUUCUUUUAAGAGGGAAGAGCAGAAGACGGUACCUCUUGAAUAAGCCACGGCUAACUACGUGCCAGCAGCCGCGGUAAUACGUAGGUGGCAAGCGUUGUCCGGAUUUACUGGGUGUAAAGGGCGUGUAGCCGGGCUGACAAGUCAGAUGUGAAAUCCCGUGGCUCAACCACGGAACUGCAUUUGAAACUGUCGGUCUUGAGUAUCGGAGAGGCAGGCGGAAUUCCUAGUGUAGCGGUGAAAUGCGUAGAUAUUAGGAGGAACACCAGUGGCGAAGGCGGCCUGCUGGACGACAACUGACGCUGAGGCUCGAAAGUGCGGGUAUCAAACAGGAUUAGAUACCCUUGUAGUC